CCUACGGGAGGCUGCAGUGAGGAAUAUUGGUCAAUGGGCGAGAGCCUGAACCAGCCAAGUCGCGUGAGGGAAGACGGUCCUACGGAUUGUAAACCUCUUUUGUCAGGGAGCAAGGAGCGCCACGAGUGGUGCGGCGAGAGUACCUGAAGAAAAAGCAUCGGCUAACUCCGUGCCAGCAGCCGCGGUAAUACGGAGGAUGCGAGCGUUAUCCGGAUUUAUUGGGUUUAAAGGGUGCGUAGGCGGCCUUUUAAGUCAGCGGUGAAAGUUUGUGGCUCAACCAUAGAAUUGCCGUUGAAACUGGGGGGCUUGAGUAUGUUUGAGGCAGGCGGAAUGCGUGGGGUAGCGGUGAAAUGCAUAGAUAUCACGCAGAACCCCGAUUGCGAAGGCAGCCUGCCAAGCCAUGACUGACGCUGAUGCACGAAAGCGUGGGGAUCGAACAGGAUUAGAUACCCUAGUAGUC
rnacentral:rRNA from 1 species